CUACGGGUUGCACCAGGCGCGAAACCUUUACAAUGCACGAAAGUGUGAUAAGGGGAUCCCGAGUGCUUAUACAUUGUAUAGGCUUUUGCCAAGUGUAAAUAACUUGGCGAAUAAGUGGUGGGAAAGACUGGUGCCAGCAGCCGCGGUAACACCAGCGCCACAAGUGGCAUACGUUUUUAUUGGGCCUAAAGCGUCCGUAGCUGGUUUGGUAAAUCUUUUGUGAAAUCGUGGAGCUUAACUCCAUGGCGUGCAGAAGACACUGCCAGACUUGGAACCGGGAGGAGUCAGAGGUAUUCUUGGGGGAGCGGUAAAAUGCUAUAAUCUCAGGAGGACCACCUGUGGCGAAGGCGUCUGACUAGAACGGAUUCGACAGUGAGGGACGAAGGCCAGGGGAGCGAACAGGAUUAGAUACCCGGGUAGUC
rnacentral:rRNA from 1 species